GGACCCGACCGCUAUCGGGGUGGGGCUAAGCCAUGGGAGUCGCACGCUCCGCCGCUGCGGGGCGUGGCGCACGGCUGAGUAGCACGUGGCUAACCUGCCCUCGGGAGGGGGAUAACACCGGGAAACUGGUGCUAAUCCCCCAUAGGGGAAGGCGCCUGGAAGGGUCCUUCCCCGAAAAGGCCCGGCAGGGGUUAGCGCUGCCGAGCCGCCCGAGGAUGGGGCUACGGCCCAUCAGGUAGUUGGCGGGGUAACGGCCCGCCAAGCCGAUAACGGGUGGGGGCCGUGAGAGCGGGAGCCCCCAGAUGGGCACUGAGACAAGGGCCCAGGCCCUAAGGGGCGCACCAGGCGCGAAACCUCCGCAAUGCGGGAAACCGUGACGGGGCCACCCCGAGUGCCCCCUUUCCGGGGGCUUUUCCCCGCUGUAGGAAGGCGGGGGAAUAAGCGGGGGGCAAGUCUGGUGUCAGCCGCCGCGGUAAUACCAGCCCCGCGAGUGGUCGGGACGGUUAUUGGGCCUAAAGCGCCCGUAGCCGGCCCGGCAAGUCCCCUCCUAAAUCCCCGGGCUCAACCUGGGGACUGGGGGGGAUACUGCCGGGCUAGGGGGCGGGAGAGGCCGAGGGUACUCCCGGGGUAGGGGCGAAAUCCCUAUAAUCCCGGGAGGACCACCAGUGGCGAAGGCGCUCGGCUGGAACGCGCCCGACGGUGAGGGGCGAAAGCCGGGGGAGCAAACCGGAUUAGAUACCCGGGUAGUCCUCGGCUGUAAACGAUGCGGCUAGCUGUUGGGGUGGC
rnacentral:rRNA from 1 species